rnacentral:rRNA from 1 species
UACGUAGGGUGCGAGCGUUAAUCGGAAUUACUGGGCGUAAAGCGUGCGCAGGCGGUUCUCCAAGUCCGUUGUGAAAGCCCCGGGCUCAACCUGGGAAUGGCAGUGGAAACUAGGGGACUGGAAUCUGGCAGAGGGGGGUGGAAUGCCGCGGUGGUAGCAGUGAAAUGCGUAGAGAUGCGGCGGAACACCGAUGGCGAAGGCAGCCCCU